AAGCAAUGGUUUCAACGUAGAGUAGGAUGAAAUACAAGGCACCUGUUGUCUCAUUUUUUGAUGAAAUGGGCCUUACAGCUUGCUAAUUCAUAGGGAAGCACUUUGUGGCUACGACUAACUUAUGUAGAGUGGAUGUUAAACUAAAAUCUAUGGUCGUAGAUGUAAAUAGACAAAAGACAACUUAAUGUUGUAAAUUUUUGUGAUCUUUCUCAAUAUUCUUGGCUGCUUUUUUCUUCCUAUUGUUAUAUUUGUUACUAUAAAAAGUAAUUCUCAAAA